GACGAACGCUGGCGGCGUGCUUAACACAUGCAAGUCGAACGGGCCCGCCCCUGUUUUUGGGGGUGGGUUGAGUGGCGAACGGGUGAGUAUCACGUGAGUAACCUGCCCCCUGCUCCUGGAUAACUGCUUGAAAGGGCGGCUAAUACGGGGUGUGCCGGCUGGUCCGCAUGGGCCUGGUCGGGAUAGUUUCAUCUUCGGGUGUUUCGGUGGGGGAUGGGCUCGCGGCCUAUCAGCUUGUUGGUGGGGUGAUGGCCCACCGAGGCGGUGACGGGUAGCCGGCCUGAGAGGGUGGGCGGCCACACUGGGACUGAGACACGGCCCAGACUCCUGCGGGAGGCAGCAGUGGGGGGUAUUGCACAAUGGGCGGAAGCCUGAUGCAGCGACGUCGCGUGAGGGAUGGAGGCCGUCGGGUUGUGAACCUCUUUCUCCGGUGGUGAAGGCCCUGUCCGUUGCGGCGGGGUUGACGGUAGCCGGGUAUGAAGCGCCGGCUAACUACGUG
rnacentral:rRNA from 1 species